rnacentral:rRNA from 1 species
GACGAACGCUGGCGGCGUGCUUAACACAUGCAAGUCGAACGGAAAGGCCCUGCUUUUGUGGGGUGCUCGAGUGGCGAACGGGUGAGUAACACGUGAGUAACCUGCCCUUGACUUUGGGAUAACUUAAGGAAACUGGGGCUAAUACCGGAUAGGAGCUCCUGCUGCAUGGUGGGGUUGGAAAGUUUCGGCGGUUGGGGAUGGACUCGCGGCUUAUCAGCUUGUUGGUGGGGUAGUGGCUUACCAAGGCUUUGACGGGUAGCCGGCCUGAGAGGGUGACCGGCCACAUUGGGACUGAGAUACGGCCCAGACUCCUACGGGAGGCAGCAGUGGGGAAUAUUGCACAAUGGGCGGAAGCCUGAUGCAGCAACGCCGCGUGCGGGAUGACGGCCUUCGGGUUGUAAACCGCUUUCGCCUGUGACGAAGCGUGAGUGACGGUAAUGGGUAAAGAAGCACCGGCUAACUACGUG